rnacentral:rRNA from 1 species
GACGAACGUUGGCGGCGUGCCUAAUACAUGCAAGUCAACUGAAGCAAGGUAGCAAUAUCUUGUGGAGGUGGCGCACGGGUGAGUAACACGUAGGUAAUCUGCCUUCAGGUCUGACAUAACUCCGGGAAACCGGAGCUAAUAGCAGAUGAUGCAGCGGCUUGACAUCAAGACAGUUGUUAAAAGCUUCGGCGCCUGAAGAUGAGCCUGCGUCUGAUUAGCUAGUUGGCGGAGUAAUAGCCCACCAAGGCGACGAUCAGUAACUGGUCUGAGAGGAUGAUCAGUCACACUGGAACUGAGACACGGUCCAGACUCCUACGGGAGGCAGCAGUAAGGAAUAUUGCCUCAAUGGGGGAAACCCUGAAGCAGCAACGCCGCGUUGAGGGAUGAAGGGACCGUUUUGUCUUGUAAACCUA